GCCUUCUUAGCUCAGUGGUAGAGCGCGCCACUCGUAAGCAGCCUUCGCUGAUACGGCAAUGGUGAGGUCGGUUGUUCAAUCCAGCCAGGAGGCA